GUGGGGAAUAUUGCGCAAUGGGGGAAACCCUGACGCAGCAAUACCGCGUGAGUGAAGAAGGUUUUCGGAUCGUAAAACUCUUUUAUUGGGGAAGAAGAAGUGACGGUACCCAAUGAAGAAGUCCCGGCUAACUACGUGCCAGCAGCCGCGGUAAUACGUAGGGGACAAGCGUUGUCCGGAAUCACUGGGCGUAAAGGGCGCGUAGGCGGUUUUAUAAGUCAGAUGUGAAAGGUACCGGCUCAACCGGUGACGUGCAUUUGAAACUGUAAGACUUGAGUACUGGAGAGGCAAGUGGAAUUCCUAGUGUAGCGGUGAAAUGCGUAGAUAUUAGGAGGAACACCGGUGGCGAAGGCGGCUUGCUGGACAGAUACUGACGCUGAGGUGCGAAAGCGUGGGGAGCGAACAGGAUUAGAUACCCUGGUAGUCC
rnacentral:rRNA from 1 species